rnacentral:rRNA from 1 species
GAUGAACGCUAGCGGGAGGCCUAACACAUGCAAGCCGAGCGGUAGAGAUCUUUCGGGAUCUUGAGAGCGGCGUACGGGUGCGGAACACGUGUGCAACCUGCCUUUAUCUGGGGGAUAGCCUUUCGAAAGGAAGAUUAAUACCCCAUAAUAUACUGAAUGGCAUCAUUCGGUAUUGAAAACUCCGGUGGAUAGAGAUGGGCACGCGCAAGAUUAGAUAGUUGGUGAGGUAACGGCUCACCAAGUCUACGAUCUUUAGGGGGCCUGAGAGGGUGAUCCCCCACACUGGUACUGAGACACGGACCAGACUCCUACGGGAGGCAGCAGUGAGGAAUAUUGGACAAUGGGUGAGAGCCUGAUCCAGCCAUCCCGCGUGAAGGACGACGGCCCUAUGGGUUGUAAACUUCUUUUGUAUAGGGAUAAACCUACCCUCGUGAGGGUAGCUGAAGGUACUAUACGAAUAAGCACCGGCUAACUCCGUGCCAGCAGCCGCGGUAAUACGGAGGGUGCAAGCGUUAUCCGGAUUUAUUGGGUUUAAAGGGUCCGUAGGCGGAUCUGUAAGUCAGUGGUGAAAUCUCACAGCUUAACUGUGAAACUGCCAUUGAUACUGCAGGUCUUGAGUGUUGUUGAAGUANCUGGAAUAAGUAGUGNAGCGGUGAAAUGCAUAGAUAUUACUUAGAACACCAAUUGC